rnacentral:lncRNA from 1 species
GUUUGGAGACAAGGCUUUGAGGAAAUUAUUCAGGCUAAACAAGGUCACCGGGGUGCCCAUCAUCCAAUCUCACCAGGUGCGCAGAGGGUGGCUUGGCCAGGGCACGGCCCUACUGCACAUUGACUUUGGACUUCUGGUCCCCAGGAUGGUGAAGAUAGGGGUCCUACUGUUUGAGCCACCCCUCUGGUCCUCCAAGUGUUACCCAGCUGGCUGAGCAAUUGCCCUCCCCAGAGAGGUCCCAGCUGAAAGGAAAGCGGACGGCCAUCCUGGGGCAGCCCCUACAAGCUGAGGCCACUGGGGUCCCAGAGGUGACCCUUCCCUCGUGGCCCAUCUCCCCCCUGUGCCACUGGAAGGACAGAGCUCCAGUAGAUUCCCUCGGCUCCAGGGCAAGCAGCCCCUCCCUUAGCCCCUGACUUCUCCAGCCCUGGAGUGUCCCCAGGCAGCCACUCGCCUAGGUCCCUCCAGUCCCUCAGUCCUGCAGAGGCUGGCGGAGGGGUCUAGGAUGAGGCACAGGCCAUGUGGCACAGAUUACUCACCAGCCC